GGAGGUGGCAAGCGUUACUCGGAAUUAUUGGGUGUAAAGGGCAAGUAGGUGGCUUGGUAAGUGAGAGGUGAAAUACUCCGGCUCAAUCGGAGAACUGCCUUUCAUACUGCCUUGCUUGAGGAUGACAGGGGGAAAUGGAAUUCCAGGUGUAAGGGUGAAAUCUGUAGAUAUCUGGAAGAACACCAGCGGCGAAGGCGAUUUCCUGGGUCACUCCUGACACUGAAUUGCGAAAGCUAGGGGGGCAAACAGAAUUAGAUACUCUGGUAGUCCUAGCCGUAAACGAUGAGCACUAGGUGUUGGCUCCGUUAGGAGUCAGUGCCGCAGCUAACGCAUUAAGUGCUCCACCUGAGGACUACGGUCGCAAGGCUA
rnacentral:rRNA from 1 species